rnacentral:rRNA from 1 species
GAUGAACGCUGGCGGCGUGCCUAAUACAUGCAAGUCGAGCGAACAGACGAGGAGCUUGCUCCGCUGACGUUAGCGGCUGACGGGCGAGUGACACGUGGAUAGCCGACCUCUAUGACUGGGAUGAUUACGGGAAAACGGUGCUAAUACCGGGUCAUAUAAUGAACGGCAUGGUUCAAUAGUGAAAGACGGUUUUUGUGGUACAUAUAGAGGGAUCCGCGCCGUAUUAGCUAGUUGGUAAGGUAACGGCUUACCAAGGCAACGAUGCGUAGCUGACCUGAGAGGGUGAUCAGCCACACUGGAACUGCAACACGGUCCAGACUCCUACGGGCGGCAGCAGUAGGGACUCUUCCGCAAUGGGCGAAAGCCUGAUGGAGCAACGCCGCGUGAGUGAUGACGGUCUUCGGAUCGUAAAACUCUGUUAUUAGGGAAGAACAAAUGUGUAAGUAACUAUACACGUCUUGACGGUACCUAAUCAAAAAGCCACGGCUAACUACGUG